UACUAUUAUAAGAAAACUUUAUCAUUUAAUUUGAAGCAUAUUAAGAGUGAAAGUUCUUAAAUUUUAAAUUUUGAUAAUAAGAUAUAAAUGAGUAUAUGAUCAAAAUCGUCUAAUUAAAUUAAAUUAUUACACUAGGUAAUCAAGUACACAACAUUAAUCUCCUUAUUACAAGAAGCAAAUUCCUAAAAAUCAAGUACACAACAUUAAAAAAAAAACUAAUUCUAGUUAUAAUGAUGUGAAGGUGUAAUCUUGAUAACUAAGCCAGGAAAAACAUCAUCAGGGUCAUGAAUAUGAGGAUUAUUCUCGACAAUAAAAGGGUCACCACACUUAUCACUAAUUGUGUGAAGUGUCUCACCUUCACCAACCACAUAGAUUUCAUCACAAUAUGGUCGUUUGGACAAUACGAGGUUUCUUUCUAUGAUGUUGUGGUAAUGAUUUUGAUGAAUCAUAGAUGUGUCUCGAAAUAUACAUAGAAGUAUAAGUGCUACAAGAACAAUAGAACAAUACCAUGAAGCUGGAUCGGCUAUGUCUUUUGAAUUUAGAGAGAUCACUCCUUUUCUUGAGUGGAAAGAAGCCAUGAUGAUUAAGAAAUUGAAGAGAGAAAUUAAGAUUGAUGAGAGAAAAGAGUGCUUUGGAAAUUGUUAUUAUAAAUAAAGAAAAGAAGAAAAAA
rnacentral:lncRNA from 1 species